CUCUCCCUCGCCCUCGCCCUCGAUCCCCUUCCCCUCUCCUCUCCCGACGCCGCUGCCCCGCCGCCUCGACGCCCCGACGUCGGCGCCGCUCUCCCCGUCGCCCCACCUCGUUGGACGCCAUUGCCCCGCCGCCCUCGUCACUGGCAGCCCGGACGUCGCCCCGUCCACACUGCCCCGUCCACCUCGUCGGGCUCCUCCUCCCGCUCCGCGUCCUCGGGCUCCUCCCACUCGCGCUCGCGCUCCCGCUCCGUCUCGUCGUCCUCCUCAUCGUCGCUCCCCUCCCACCGCCAAGCGCAGAGGAUAAGAAGAACUUGCUCUGUUCUUGCUUGUACACCAAUCUCUGCUUCAACUACUGCAUUUACUUUCAGGUUCUGCAAACGGUCUUUUACUGCACUUGACUGAAGAAGUAGGUGUCUGCUAUAUCCUGCACUUGAGCGAUGCCGUCGUAUGUCGUGUACAAGGGUAAGGUUCCCGGAGUCUACGACGACUGGGAGGAGUGUCGGAGACAGGUUCACCGAUUUAGC